rnacentral:rRNA from 1 species
AGAUGGGAGCUUGCUCCCUGAUGUUAGCGGCGGACGGGUGAGUAACACGUGGGUAACCUGCCUGUAAGACUGGGAUAACUCCGGGAAACCGGGGCUAAUACCGGAUGGUUGUUUGAACCGCAUGGUUCAGACAUAAAAGGUGGCUUCGGCUACCACUUACAGAUGGACCCGCGGCGCAUUAGCUAGUUGGUGAGGUAACGGCUCACCAAGGCGACGAUGCGUAGCCGACCUGAGAGGGUGAUCGGCCACACUGGGACUGAGACACGGCCCCAGACUCCUACGGGAGGCAGCAGUAGGGAAUCUUCCGCAAUGGACGAAAGUCUGACGGAGCAACGCCGCGUGAGUGAUGAAGGUUUUCGGAUCGUAAAGCUCUGUUGUUAGGGAAGAACAAGUGCCGUUCAAAUAGGGCGGCACCUUGACGGUACCUAACCAGAAAGCCACGGCUAACUACGUGCCAGCAGCCGCGGUAAUACGUAGGUGGCAAGCGUUGUCCGGAAUUAUUGGGCGUAAAGGGCUCGCAGGCGGUUUCUUAAGUCUGAUGUGAAAGCCCCCGGCUCAACCGGGGAGGGUCAUUGGAAACUGGGGAACUUGAGUGCAGAAGAGGAGAGUGGAAUUCCACGUGUAGCGGUGAAAUGCGUAGAGAUGUGGAGGAACACCAGUGGCGAAGGCGACUCUCUGGUCUGUAACUGACGCUGAGGAGCGAAAGCGUGGGGAGCGAACAGGAUUAGAUACCCUGGUAGUCCACGCCGUAAACGAUGAGUGCUAAGUGUUAGGGGGUUUCCGCCCCUUAGUGCUGCAGCUAACGCAUUAAGCACUCCGCCUGGGGAGUACGGUCGCAAGACUGAAACUCAAAGGAAUUGACGGGGGCCCGCACAAGCGGUGGAGCAUGUGGUUUAAUUCGAAGCAACGCGAAGAACCUUACCAGGUCUUGACAUCCUCUGACAAUCCUAGAGAUAGGACGUCCCCUUCGGGGGCAGAGUGACAGGUGGUGCAUGGUUGUCGUCAGCUCGUGUCGUGAGAUGUUGGGUUAAGUCCCGCAACGAGCGCAACCCUUGAUCUUAGUUGCCAGCAUUCAGUUGGGCACUCUAAGGUGACUGCCGGUGACAAACCGGAGGAAGGUGGGGAUGACGUCAAAUCAUCAUGCCCCUUAUGACCUGGGCUACACACGUGCUACAAUGGACAGAACAAAGGGCAGCGAAACCGCGAGGUUAAGCCAAUCCCACAAAUCUGUUCUCAGUUCGGAUCGCAGUCUGCAACUCGACUGCGUGAAGCUGGAAUCGCUAGUAAUCGCGGAUCAGCAUGCCGCGGUGAAUACGUUCCCGGGCC